CAUACACACACACACAGACAUACACACACACACACAGACAUACAUACUGACAUACACACACACACACACACAGACAUACUGACAUGCUUGCAGAUACACACACACCUCAUUUAUCAGCCACCCUCCUCUUACCUUUAAGUUGCAGGAGGGUGGCUGGGGAUGAUGGGAGUGGAUGCCUCUGGUGUCCCUCUCCUCCGCUCUCCCCCUGCGCGGAGUAAGCUGGGAGGAAG